AUUGAACGCUGGCGGCAGGCCUAACACAUGCAAGUCGAGCGGAUGAGAGGAGCUUGCUUCUCGAUUCAGCGGCGGACGGGUGAGUAAUGCCUAGGAAUCUGCCUGGUAGUGGGGGACAACGUUUCGAAAGGAACGCUAAUACCGCAUACGUCCUACGGGAGAAAGCAGGGGACAUUCGGGCCUUGCGCUAUCAGAUGAGCCUAGGUCGGAUUAGCUAGUUGGUGAGGUAAUGGCUCACCAAGGCGACGAUCCGUAACUGGUCUGAGAGGAUGAUCAGUCACACUGGAACUGAGACACGGUCCAGACUCCUACGGGAGGCAGCAGUGGGGAAUAUUGGACAAUGGGCGAAAGCCUGAUCCAGCCAUGCCGCGUGUGUGAAGAAGGUCUUCGGAUUGUAAAGCACUUUAAGUUGGGAGGAAGGGUUGUAGAUUAAUACUCUGCAAUUUUGACGUUACCGACAGAACAAGCACCGGCUAACUCUGUGCCAGCAGCCGCCGUAAUAC
rnacentral:rRNA from 1 species